UUUUUUGAGGUUGCAUUUUAUCACUCAAAAUAACGUUGUCCUUUGUAGAACUGGGUCCGGAAACGUGCUUUGUGAUUUCUGAGAAAUACACUAUAAUUCAAAUGCUACUUCCUACCAGCAAACAUCAAAAUUGACUGCAUUUGUGUGAUUACAAGAGCAAAGAAAAGCCGAAGAGCCAUAAAUAGCACCAAUUUUACUUCACUGAGAUGUUCUGUAAGACACUGGGCACACAGAUCGGUGCUCCAAGUGUUGUCAGUUAUGGACAGAAAUCUGGACUCCUCACUGGGCAGUAUUCCUUUCUGCUCAAUUGAAAGUUUGUUUUUUUUUACAAUAAAUAACAGAUAGUAACAAACACAUACUCAGAUGAAACAGGCAGUGGUGUGCCAGCAUUAUGUUGCCGUGACAAAGUUCCUCCAUCUGUGUCCUCUCCUUCAGUCUGCAAAAAUUAUUCAGGUACUUUACAUAAUAAAAGACUAACAAAUUGACGAGUUUAGUUUAUAUAGCAAUAGCCUGCUCAGUCUUAAAAUUCUUAGGAGAGAAUAUAUUAUGAGAAAUAAUGAUUUUUAAAGGUAGUAUUAUCAAUGAAAUUAUAUAAUUUAAUAUGUUGUUUCAGAAUAUUCAGGAAAAGCUUUAUUUUUAGAUUUUACCCGAGAAUGAGAAGUUGUGUUUGUGUGUGAGCACAUUUCGUUG
rnacentral:lncRNA from 1 species